UGAGGUAGGCACUAACCCAUCCACAAAUACAACCUGCUGAAGGACUCAGUCUCUGAGGUAGGCACUAACCCAUCCACAAAUACAACCUGCUGAGGUAGGCACUAACCCAUCCACAAAUACAACCUGCUGAAGGACUCAGUCUCUGAGGUAGGCACUAACCCAUCCAUAAAUACAACCUGCUGAAGGACUCAGUCUCUGAGGUAGGCACUAACCCAUCCACAAAUACAACCUGCUGAAGGACUCAGUCUCUGAGGUAGGCACUAACCCAUCCACAAAUACAACCUGCUGAAGGACUCAGUCUCUGAGGUAGGCACUAACCCAUCCACAAAUACAACCUGCUGAAGGACUCAGUCUCUGAGGUAGGCACUAACCCAUCCAUAAAUACAACCUGCUGAAGGUCUCAGUCUCUGAGGUAGGCACUAACCCAUCCAUAAAUACAACCUGCUGAAGGACUCAGUCUCUGAGGUAGGCACUAACCCAUCCAUAAAUACAACCUGCUGAAGGUCUCAGUCUCUGAGGUAGGCACUAACCCAUCCAUAAAUACAACCUGCUGAAGGACUCAGUCUCUGAGGUAGGCACUAACCCAUCCAUAAAUACAACCUGCUGAAGGACUCAGUCUCUGAGGUAGGCACUAACCCAUCCAUAAAUACAACCUGCUGAAGGACUCAGUCUCUGAGGUAGGCACUAACCCAUCCACAAGUACAACCUGCUGAGGUAGGCACUAACCCAUCCACAAGUACAACCUGCUGAAGGACUCUAUCUCUGAGGUAGGCACUAACCCAUCCACAAGUACAACCUGCUGAGGUAGGCACUAACCCAUCCAUAAAUACAACCUGCUGAGGUAGGCACUAACCCAUCCACAAGUACAACCUGCUGAGGUAGGCACUAACCCAUCCACAAGUACAACCUGCUGAGGUAGGCACUAACCCAUCCACAAGUACAACCUGCUGAGGUAGGCACUAACCCAUCCACAAGUACAACCUGCUGAAGGACUCAGUCUCUGAGGUAGGCACUAACCCAUCCACAAGUACAACCUGCUGAAGGACUCAGUCUCUGAGGUAGGCACUAACCCAUCCACAAGUACA